rnacentral:tRNA from 4 species
GCUCCGUUAGCUCAGUUGGAUAGAGCAGGAAUCUUCUAAAUUUCAGGUCAAAGGUUCGAAUCCUUUACGGGGCA